rnacentral:rRNA from 1 species
CCUACGGGUGGCAGCAGUGAGGAAUAUUGGUCAAUGGGCGUAAGCCUGAACCAGCCAAGUCGCGUGAGGGAUGAAGGUUCUAUGGAUCGUAAACCUCUUUUAUAAGGGAAUAAAGUGUGGGACGUGUCCUGUUUUGUAUGUACUUUAUGAAUAAGGAUAGGUUAACUCCGUGCCAGCAGCCGAGGUAAUACGGAGGAUCCGAGCGUUAUCCGGAUUUAUUGGGUUUAAAGGGUGCGUAGGCGGCCUUUUAAGUCAGCGGUGAAAGUCUGUGGCUCAACCAUAGAAUUGCCGUUGAAACUGGGAGGCUUGAGUAUGUUUGAGGCAGGCGGAAUGCGUGGUGUAGCGGUGAAAUGCUUAGAUAUCACGCAGAACCCCGAUUGCGAAGGCAGCCUGCCAAGCCAUGACUGACGCUGAUGCACGAAAGCGUGGGGAUCAAACAGGAUUAGAUACCCCUGUAGUC